rnacentral:rRNA from 1 species
CCGCGUGCAGGAAGACGGCCCUAUGGGUUGUAAACUGCUUUUAUAUGAGAAGAAACCCCUUGAUGCGUUGAGGGCUGACGGUAUCAUAUGAAUAAGGAUCGGCUAACUUCGUGCCAGCAGCCGCGGUAAGACGAAGGAUCCAAGCGUUGUCCGGAUUUACUGGGUUUAAAGGGUGCGUAGGCGGGAUAUUAAGUCAGUGGUGAAAGCCCACAGCUCAACUGUGGAACUGCCAUUGAAACUGAUAUUCUUGAAUAUGGUUGAGGUAGAUGGAAUAUAACAUGUAGCGGUGAAAUGCUUAGAUAUGUUAUAGAACACCGAUUGCGAAGGCAGUCUGCUAUGCCAUCAUUGACGCUGAGGCACGAAAGCGUGGGGAGCAAACAGGAUUAGAUACCCUGGUAGUCCACGCCCUAAACGUUGAUUACUCGCUGUUGGCGAUACACUGUCAGCGGCUAAGCGAAAGCGUUAAGUAAUCCACCUGGGAAGUACGUCCGCAAGGAUGAANACUCAAGGAAUUGACGGGGGCCCGCACAAGCGGAGGAGCAUGUGGUUUACUUCCGAAUGAUACGCGAGAAACCUUACUAGGUUUAAUGUCCGGUGACGGUGCCGGAAGUGGUUCCUUU